rnacentral:rRNA from 1 species
AGUGAACGCUGGCGGUAGGCCUAACACAUGCAAGUCGAACGGCAGCACAGUAAGAGCUUGCUCUUACGGGUGGCGAGUGGCGGACGGGUGAGGAAUACAUCGGAAUCUACUUUUUCGUGGGGGAUAACGUAGGGAAACUUACGCUAAUACCGCAUACGACCUACGGGUGAAAGCAGGGGAUCUUCGGACCUUGCGCGAUUGAAUGAGCCGAUGUCGGAUUAGCUAGUUGGCGGGGUAAAGGCCCACCAAGGCGACGAUCCGUAGCUGGUCUGAGAGGAUGAUCAGCCAAACUGGAACUGAGACACGGUCCAGACUCCUACGGGAGGCAGCAGUGGGAAAUAUUGGACAAUGGGCGCAAGCCUGAUCCAGCCAUACCGGGUGGGUGAAGAAGGCCUUCGGGUUGUAAAGCCCUUUUGUUGGGAAAGAGAAGCAGCAGGUUAAUACCCCGCUGUCCUGACGGUACACAAAGAAUAAGCACCGGCUAACUUCGU